GACGAACGCUGGCGGCGUGCUUAACACAUGCAAGUCGAACGAUGAAGCCGGAGCUUGCUCUGGUGAAUUAGUGGCGAACGGGUGAGUAACACGUGAGUAACCUGCCCUUGACUCUGGGAUAACUGCUAGAAAUGGUAGCUAAUACCGGAUACGACCCUCGGAGGCAUCUCCAGGGGGUGGAAAGAAUUUCGGUCAAGGAUGGACUCGCGGCCUAUCAGCUAGUUGGUGAGGUAACGGCUCACCAAGGCGACGACGGGUAGCCGGCCUGAGAGGGUGACCGGCCACACUGGGAAUGAGACACGGCCCAGACUCCUACGGGCGGCAGCAGUGGGGAAGAGUGCACAAGGGGCGCAAGCCUGAUGCAGCAACGCCGCGUGAGGGAUGACGGCCUUCGGGUUGUAAACCUCUUUUAGUAGGGAAGAAGCGAAAGUGACGGUACCUGCAGAAAAAGCACCGGCUAACUACGUGCCAGCCGCCGCCGUAA
rnacentral:rRNA from 1 species